rnacentral:rRNA from 1 species
GAUGAACGCUGGCGGCGUGCCUAAUGCAUGCAAGUCGAGCGAACGGACGAGAAGCUUGCUUCUCUGAUGUUAGUGGCGGACGGGUGAGUAACACGUGGAUAACCUACCUAUAAGACUGGGAUAACUUCGGGAAACCGGAGCUAAUACCGGAUAUAUUUUGAACCGCAUGGUUCAAAAGUGAAAGACGGUCUUGCUGUCACUUAUAGAUGGAUCCGCGCUGCAUUAGCUAGUUGGUAAGGUAACGGCUUACCAAGGCAACGAUGCAUAGCCGACCUGAGAGGGUGAUCGGCCACACUGGAACUGAGACACGGUCCAGACUCCUACGGGAGGCAGCAGUAGGGAAUCUUCCGCAAUGGGCGAAAGCCUGACGGAGCAACGCCGCGUGAGUGAUGAAGGUCUUCGGAUCGUAAAACUCUGUUAUUAGGGAAGAACAUAUGUGUAAGUAACUGUGCACAUCUUGACGGUACCUAAUCAGAAAGCCACGGCUAACUACGUG